UCCAGCAGAAAGUGCUUAUGGGCCAUC
rnacentral:piRNA from 1 species